rnacentral:lncRNA from 10 species
GCUUCUCUGGUCCUCUUUCUUCCUGGCUUUGUUUCUUCCCUUUGAAUGUGUCUACCUCUUCCUUCUCAUUUAUCUGCCCUCCACUCCUUUCUUUCUCAUCUGUUUCUCCAUCUUAGUUUGCCACGAUAUUGAUGUGAAGUAUAGUUGACAGUAUUUGUCCAAUUUAUUGAACACUCAAGUGUUUCCUAAUGUUAUCUCAAA